rnacentral:rRNA from 1 species
UACGUAGGGGGCAAGCGUUGUCCGGAUUUAUUGGGCGUAAAGAGCGUGUAGGCGGCCUGACAGGUCUGCUGUGAAAACUCGAGGCUCAACCUCGAGAUGUCGGCGGAAACCGUCUGGCUAGAGUCCGGAAGAGGUUAGUGGAACUGCGAGUGUAGAGGUGAAAUUCGUAGAUAUUCGCAAGAACACCAGUGGCGAAGGCGGCUGACUGGUCCGGAUCUGACGCUGAGGCGCGAAAGCGUGGGGAGCAAACAGG